rnacentral:rRNA from 1 species
UAGCCGUAAACGAUACUCGCUAGGUGUCGGCCACGGUGCGACCGUUGUCGGUGCCGUAGGGAAGCCGUGAAGCGAGCCACCUGGGAAGUACGGCCGCAAGGCUGAAACUUAAAGGAAUUGGCGGGGGAGCACCACAACGGGUGGAGCCUUGCGGUUUAAUUGGAUUCAACGCCGGAAAUCUUACCGGGACCGACAGCAACAUGAAGGCCAGGCUGAAGACUUUGCCGGAUUAGCUGAGAGGAGGUGCAUGGCGUAGUCGUGU